AGGCCAGGUGCGGUGGCUCAUGUCUGUAAUCCCAGCACUUUGGGAGGCCAAGGCGAGUGGAUCACCUGAGGUCAGGAGUUCGAGACCAGCCUGACCAACAUGGCAAAACCCCGUCUGUACUAAAAGUGCAAACACAAAGGGAACUGCGUGGCUUGUUUCUACCUGAACAUUGUCAAGUGAUUUCAUCCUUUGAAACACAGUUGUGAAGUGUGUCCAGCAGUCUGAGAACAAGAAGAAGAAGAAAAUCUAAUCCUUCAGGGUGUCUGUGUGCCAGCCCUGCUCUCAGCACUUCCCAUGUGGAACUCCUUUACUUCUCCUAACAACUCCAUGACAUGGGUUAGACUGUGAUUGUUCCCAUAUUGUUGGUAGGGAAACUGAGGCAUGCAGGUGUUACAGAGCUCUCUCAAGUGGCAAGCUUUCUGGGUGGUUACAGAGUGGCAGAGCUGGGGUAUCCCAUGAUGUCACCACACUGCUAUAUGGAAAAGAACAUUAAUCGAGCACCUACGUGCUUGAUUCUCUUAAUUCUGUGACUGAACUCUCAAAACACCCUGGGGUUGCCGUGAGGAGUAAAUGAGCUGUUGCAUGGGAAGCACUUAGCAUGGGGCCUGAUAAAUAGUAAGCCCUUGGUAAUAAUUACAUCUUCCGUGAUGCUAGACACAGAGGGAUUGAAAUGCAUAACAAUAGAGAUGAAACACGAAGAGUGAUAAAUGAAGAUUGAGUGUGCACACCUUCUGGAGGAGCCCUGAUUGAGUAUUUUAAAAUACUACUAAAGUCAUGCCGUGUGACUUCUGAAGCUAGCUCCUAAGAAGUCCUUGCAGCUUCUGCCUGCGACUCUUAGAACACUUGCUUUGAAGGAUGCCAGAUGCUGUCUUAAAAGUCUGAGCACUCUGAAACCAUCAUGCUGUGAGGAAGCCCAAGCUAACCACAUGGGCAAAAAAGAUGCCCUCUGACUGCCACCAUUUGAGACACUCUAAUUAAGAACUGCCUCAUUGAGCCCAUGAGGCCCUGUGAAUGAUAAUAAUAAAUUGUUUUUAACCA
rnacentral:lncRNA from 1 species